CUUGUGCCAGCAGCCGCGGUAAUACAGAGGGUGCAAGCGUUAAUCGGAAUUACUGGGCGUAAAGCGCGCGUAGGUGGUUCGUUAAGUUGGAUGUGAAAUCCCCGGGCUCAACCUGGGAACUGCAUUCAAAACUGACGAGCUAGAGUAUGGUAGAGGGUGGUGGAAUUUCCUGUGUAGCGGUGAAAUGCGUAGAUGUAGGAAGGAACACCAGUGGCGAAGGCGACCACCUGGACUGAUACUGACACUGAGGUGCGAAAGCGUGGGGAGCAAACAGGAUUA
rnacentral:rRNA from 1 species